GAUGGCAUGUUCUUUGCUUCUCCCAGUGUCUGGUGUACAUGGGAGCAUUGUGUCUGCAGACAUCUUUAAGACAUGUUUGCUGAGAAAAGG